CUACUUACCUAGAUGUGGUCAAUGGGCGAUCAAGAAGGCUCAUGGCUUAGGUUGGUGGCCUCCAUUGCACUUAGGGCCUAGGGGGUGCCUGUCUAUGGUCUCCCCGAGUGGGAGAGCCAACGUCAUAAUUUGUGGCAGUGGGGGCCCGCGUUCGCGCGCCCCUGCC